AGAUGCGAGAGUAGAGCAUAUCAAUAAGCGGAGGAAAAGAAACUAACAAGGAUUCCCUUAGUAACGGCGAGUGAAGCGGGAAGAGCUCAAAUUUGAAAUCUUCAAGGUUCUACCUUGACGAAUUGUAGUUUAUAAGAAGUGUUUUCUGUUAGUGGAGUGGCAAAAGUUCUUUGGAAUAGGACAUCACAGAGGGUGAGAAUCCCGUAUUUGGUCAUUCCUCCUAGCUUUGUGAUACACUUUCAACGAGUCGGAUUGUUUGGGAAUGCAGUCCAAAAUGGGUGGUAAAUUUCAUCUAAAGCUAAAUAUUGGCGAGAGACCGAUAGCGAACAAGUACCGUGAGGGAAAGAUGAAAAGAACUUUGAAAAGAGAGUUAAACAGUACGUGAAAUUGUCAAAAGGGAAGCGUUUGACACCAGUGUUGUUUUUCCGAAAAUCAAUUACGAAUGUUUUAUUUUUGAGGAGUUAUGACUUCAUCGGCUUGCUCCUUUCUUUAUGGAAACUUUCUUAAUGCACUUUUCGGUUAACAAGUCAACAUCAAUUUCUUUUGUUGUAAAAGAGUAUGAGGAAGGUGGCUUUCUUUUCGGAGAAAGUGUUUAUAGCCUUGUGCCUCUGCAAUCGGAGAGAUUGAGGUCUGCAGCGUAGAUCCUUCGGGGUUAGAUACAUUUGUGCUAAGUUAUAGCUUUUUCAUAGACAACUUGUUGACUAUGUUUAGUCUUGUAGCUUACUCGCUGAUGCUAUUUUACCUACGCUUAGGAUGUUGACGAGACUGUCGAUCUC
rnacentral:rRNA from 1 species